UCAAAAGAAUGGGGAUUAUCAAUAAACCAAUUGGAGUUAUUAAAUAUCCAGAUGUUGUAAAAGGGUUACACGUUGCCUCAAUCAGAGGCCACCAUUCAAGGUUUUAAAGGCAAAAGCUAUACUGACGAAGAGAUUGAAGUCAUACUUAGAAGGAGUAGAAGUGUUGAAAUAUUAUGAAAUCUUAUUGGUAAGUAAAGUAGUCAUUUGUAAAAAAAGAAAAUUAUUGUUAAGAAGAAAAAUAGUAAAAA